rnacentral:rRNA from 1 species
UGGGGAAUAUUGCGCAAUGGGGGGAACCCUGACGCAGCCAUGCCGCGNGAAUGAAGAAGGCCUUCGGGUUGUAAAGUUCUUUCGGUAUUGAGGAAGGUUGAUGUGUUAAUAGCACAUCAAAUUGGCGUUAAAUACAGAAGAAGCACCGGCUAACUCCGUGCCAGCAGCCGCGGUAAUACGGAGGGUGCGAGCGUUAAUCGGAAUAACUGGGCGUAAAGGGCAAGCAGGCGGUUAUUUAAGUGAGGUGUGAAAGCCCCGGGCUUAACCUGGGAAUUGCAUUUCAGACUGGGUAACUAGAGUACUUUAGGGAGGGGUAGAAUUCCACGUGUAGCGGUGAAAUGCGUAGAGAUGUGGAGGAAUACCGAAGGCGAAGGCAGCCCCUUGGGAAUGUACUGACGCUCAUGUGCGAAAGCGUGGGGGAGCAAACAGGAUUAGAUACCCUGGUAGUCCACGCUGUAAACGCUGUCGAUUUGGGGGUUGGGGUUUAACUCUGGCGCCCGUAGCUAACGUGAUAAAUCGACCGCCUGGGGAGUACGGCCGCAAGGUU